CAGUAGCCGCGGUAAUACGAAGGGGGCUAGCGUUGUUCGGAUUUACUGGGCGUAAAGGGCGCGUAGGCGGGCUGAUCAGUCAGGGGUGAAAUCCCAAGGCUCAACCUUGGAACUGCCUUUGAUACUGUCGGUCUUGAGUUCGAGAGAGGUAAGUGGAACUGCGAGUGUAGAGGUGAAAUUCGUAGAUAUUCGCAAGAACACCAGUGGCGAAGGCGGCUUACUGGCUCGAAACUGACGCUGAGGCGCGAAAGCGUGGGGAGCAAACAGGAUUAGAUACCCCAGUAGUCCCUGUCUCUUAUAC
rnacentral:rRNA from 1 species